GAUGAACGCUAGCGGCAGGCCUAACACAUGCAAGUCGAGGGGCAGCACAGAAACAGCAAUGUUUUGGUGGCGACCGGCGGACGGGUGCGUAACGCGUAUGCAACCUACCUUUAACAGGGGGAUAACGGAGAGAAAUUUCCACUAAUACCCCAUAACAUCGAUCAAGGCAUCUUGAUUGGUUGAAAACUCCGGGGGUUAAAGAUGGGCAUGCGUUGUAUUAGAUAGUUGGUGAGGUAAUGGCUCACCAAGCCUAAGAUACAUAGGGGGACUGAGGGGUUAGCCCCCCACACUGGUACUGAGACACGGACCAGACUCCUACGGGAGGCAGCAGUGAGGAAUAUUGGUCAAUGGGGGCAACCCUGAACCAGCCAUGCCGCGUGCAGGAAGACGGCUCUAUGAGUUGUAAACUGCUUUUAAACAGGGAUAAAGCACAGUAUGUAUACUGUGUUGAAGGUACUGUAAGAAUAAGGAUCGGCUAACUCCGUGCCAGCCGCCGCGGUAA
rnacentral:rRNA from 1 species